GGCUCAGGACGAACGCUGGCGGCGCGCCUAACACAUGCAAGUCGAACGAGAGAUGAGGAGCUUGCUCUUCAAAUCGAGUGGCGAACGGGUGAGUAACGCGUGAGGAACCUGCCUCAAAGAGGGGGACAACAGUUGGAAACGACUGCUAAUACCGCAUAAGCCCACGGCUCGGCAUCGAGCAGAGGGAAAAGGAGCAAUCCGCUUUGAGAUGGCCUCGCGUCCGAUUAGCUAGUUGGUGAGGUAACGGCCCACCAAGGCGACGAUCGGUAGCCGGACUGAGAGGUUGAACGGCCACAUUGGGACUGAGACACGGCCCAGACUCCUACGGGAGGCAGCAGUGGGGAAUAUUGCACAAUGGGGGAAACCCUGAUGCAGCGACGCCGCGUGGAGGAAGAAGGUCUUCGGAUUGUAAACUCCUGUUGUUGAGGAGGAUAAUGACGGUACUCAACAAGGAAGUGACGGCUAACUACGUGCCAGCAGCCGCGGUAAAACGUAGGUCACAAGCGUUGUCCGGAAUUACUGGGUGUAAAGGGAGCGCAGGCGGGAGAACAAGUUGGAAGUGAAAUCCAUGGGCUCAACCCAUGAACUGCUUUCAAAACUGUUUUUCUUGAGUAGUGCAGAGGUAGGCGGAAUUCCCGGUGUAGCGGUGGAAUGCGUAGAUAUCGGGAGGAACACCAGUGGCGAAGGCGGCCUACUGGGCACCAACUGACGCUGAGGCUCGAAAGUGUGGGUAGCAAACAGGAUUAGAUACCCUGGUAGUCCACACCGUAAACGAUGAUUACUAGGUGUUGGAGGAUUGACCCCUUCAGUGACGCAGUUAACACAAUAAGUAAUCCACCUGGGGA
rnacentral:rRNA from 1 species